rnacentral:rRNA from 1 species
CGGCAUGCCUUACACAUGCAAGUCGAACGGUGUGGAGGGGCAACUCUCCAUUCAGUGGCGAACGGGUGAGUAACGCGUGGGAACGUGCCCUUUGGUACGGAACAACUGAGGGAAACUUCAGCUAAUACCGUAUGUGCCCUACGGGGGAAAGAUUUAUCGCCGUUGGAGCGGCCCGCGUUGGAUUAGCUAGUUGGUAGGGUAAUGGCCUACCAAGGCGACGAUCUAUAGCUGGUCUGAGAGGAUGAUCAGCCACACUGGGACUGAGAAGCGGCCCAGACUCCUACGGGAGGCAGCAGUGGGGAAUCUUGCGCAAUGGGCGAAAGCCUGACGCAGCCAUGCCGGGUGAAUGAUGAAGGUCGUAGGAUUGUAAAAUUCUUUCACCGGGGACGAUAAUGACGGUACCCGGAGAAGAAGCCCCGGCUAACUUCGUGCCAGCAGCCGCGGUAACAC